GAUGAACGCUGGCGGCGUGCCUAAUACAUGCAAGUCGAGCGAACGGACGAGAAGCUUGCUCCUCUGCUGUUAGCGGCGGACGGGUGAGUAACACGUGGAUAACCUACCUAUAAGACUGGGAUAACUUCGGGAAACCGUAGCUAAUACCGGAUAAUAUUUUGAACCGCAUGGUUCAAAAGUGAAAGACGGUCUUGGCGUCACUUAUAGAUGGAUCCGCGCUGCAUUAGCUAGUUGGUAAGGUAACGGCCUACCAAGGCAACGAUGCAUAGCCGACCUGAGAGGGUGAUCGGCCACACUGGAACUGAGACACGGUCCAGACUCCUACGGGAGGCAGCAGUAGGGAAUCUUCCGCAAUGGGCGAAAGCCUGACGGAGCAACGCCGCGUGAGUGAUGAAGGUCUUCGGAUCGUAAAACUCUGUUAUUAGGGAAGAAAAUAUGUGUAAGUAACUGUGCACAUCUUGACGGUACCUAAUCAGAAAGCCACGGCUAACUACGUG
rnacentral:rRNA from 1 species